rnacentral:rRNA from 1 species
UACGUAGGGUGCAAGCGUUGUCCGGAAUUAUUGGGCGUAAAGAGCUUGUAGGCGGUCUGUCGCGUCUGCUGUGAAAAUCCGGGGCUCAACCCCGGACUUGCAGUGGGUACGGGCAGACUAGAGUGUGGUAGGGGAGACUGGAAUUCCUGGUGUAGCGGUGAAAUGCGCAGAUAUCAAGGAGGAACACCGAUGGCGAAGGCAGGUCUCUGGGCCACUACUGACGCUGAGAAGCGAAAAGCU